rnacentral:rRNA from 1 species
GACAGAGGAUGCAAGCGUUAUCCGGAAUGAUUGGGCGUAAAGCGUCUGUAGGUGGCUUUUUAAGUCCGCCGUCAAAUCCCAGGGCUCAACCCUGGACAGGCGGUGGAAACUACCAAGCUGGAGUACGGUAGGGGCAGAGGGAAUUUCCGGUGGAGCGGUGAAAUGCGUAGAUAUCGGAAGGAACACCAGUGGCGAAGGCGGCUACCUGGACUGACACUGACGCUGAGGCGCGAGAGCGUGGGGAGCAAACAGG